UACGUAGGGUGCGAGCGUUGUCCGGAAUUACUGGGCGUAAAGAGCUCGUAGGUGGUUUGUCGCGUUGUUCGUGAAAUCUCACGGCUUAACUGUGAGCGUGCGGGCGAUACGGGCAGACUAGAGUACUGCAGGGGAGACUGGAAUUCAUGGUGUAGCGGUGGAAUGCGCAGAUAUCAGGAGGAACACCGGUGGCGAAGGCGGGUCUCUGGGCAGUAACUGACGCUGAGGAGCGAAAGCGUGGGGAGCGAACAGG
rnacentral:rRNA from 1 species